GAUGAACGCUGGCGGCGUGCUUAACACAUGCAAGUCGAACGGUGAAGGAAGAGCUUGCUCUUCUGGAUCAGUGGCGAACGGGUGAGUAACACGUGAGUAACCUGCCCUUGACUCUGGGAUAAGCGUUGGAAACGACGUCUAAUACCGGAUACGAGCUUCAGCCGCAUGGCUAGGAGUUGGAAAGAUUUUUCGGUCAGGGAUGGACUCGCGGCCUAUCAGGUUGUUGGUGAGGUAAUGGCUCACCAAGCCUACGACGGGUAGCCGGCCUGAGAGGGUGACCGGCCACACUGGGACUGAGACACGGCCCAGACUCCUACGGGAGGCAGCAGUGGGGAAUAUUGCACAAUGGGCGAAAGCCUGAUGCAGCAACGCCGCGUGAGGGACGACGGCCUUCGGGUUGUAAACCUCUUUUAGCAGGGAAGAAGCGAAAGUGACGGUACCUGCAGAAAAAGCACCGGCUAACUACGUGCCAGCAGCCGCCGUAAUAC
rnacentral:rRNA from 1 species